rfam:Camelus ferus unplaced genomic scaffold scaffold1822, whole genome shotgun sequence.
GAGGUUAUGGCUCAGUGGUAGAGCUCAUUCUUAGCAUGCAGGAGGUCCUGAGUUCAAUCCUCAGUACCUCCA